rnacentral:rRNA from 1 species
UACGGAGGGUGCAAGCAUUAAUCGGAUUUAUUGGGCGUAUAGGGCGCCGUAGGCGGAAAUAUAAGUCAGAUGUGAAAUCCCGGGGCUCAACCCCGGAACGGCAUUUGAAACUAUUUUUUCUUGAGGGUAGGCGGAGAAAACGGAAUUCCACAAGUAGCGGUGAAAUGCGUAGAUAUGUGGAAGAACACCGGUGGCGAAGGCGGUUUUCUAGCUUAUUCCUGACGCUAAGGCGCGAAAGCAAGGGGAUCAAACAGG